AUCCCUCCUCGAUCCAUUAUACAUGUGUUUACAGCAACAGACAGAGAUGCUGGGGACAAAAUAUUCUAUGAUUUUGCAGGACCUACGAGAAUAUUUUCUAUAAACUCUGUUACUGGUUCUCUAAUUAUUGAACAGACGUUCGAUUAUGAUAAUCCUGAUGAACCCAAAGCAUUUGCAUUGACUUUAAAAGCAUCAGACAAUGCUAGUCAUGUAACUUACUAUAACAUUCAUGUUUACAUUGAAAAUAUAGAUGAGCCACCAGUUUGUGAUCCAAGCAUUUCCACUGGAAGAGGCAUUGUACUAUCUGUGCCUGAGACAUUUCCAACACAGACACCGCUGUACACUAUUCUGGCUAAAGACCCUGAUG